GCAUGGGGAGCGGCAGACGGGAGAGUAACACGUGGGAACGUGCCCUUCAGUUCGGAACGACCCAGGGAGACUUGGGCUAAUAGCGGAUACGUCCGAAAGGAGAAAGAUUUAUCGCUGAAGGAUCGGCCCGCGUCUGAUUAGCUAGUUGGUGAGGUAACGGCUCACCAAGGCGACGAUCAGUAGCUGGUCUGAGAGGAUGAUCAGCCUCACUGGGACUGAGACACGGCCCAGACUCCUACGGGAGGCAGCAGUGGGGAAUAUUGGACAAUGGGCGCAAGCCUGAUCCAGCCUUGCCGCGUGGAUGAUGAAAGCCCUAGGGUUGUAAAGUCCUUUCGGCGGGGAGCAUAAUGACGGUACCCGCAGAAGAAGCCCCGUUUAUCUUCCUGCCAGCAGCCGCGGUAAUAGCGAAGGGGGCUAGCGUCGAUAGGAAUCACCGGGCGUAAAGCUCAGGUUGGCGGACUCUUAUGUCUGUGGUGAAAUCCGGGAGUUCUAUUCCAGAACUGCGUUAUAUACUCAGAGUCUUGAGUCCGGGAGAGGUGAGUGGAACUGCGAGUCUAGAGGUUAAAUUAGUAGAUAUUCGCAAGAACACCAGUGGUGAAGGCGGCUCACUGGCCCGGUACUGACUCUGAUGUGCGAAAGCGUGGUGAGCAAACAGGAUUAGAUACCCUGGUAGUCCACGCAGUAAACGAUGGAUGCUAGCCGUUGGCAGGCUUUCCUGUCAGUGGCGCAGCUAACGCAUUAAGCAUCCCGCCUGGGGAGUAC
rnacentral:rRNA from 1 species